CUAGAAAAACAGGAGCCGAACCUGCACUGAAAAACUCAAAAUUUUUUGUACUUCAUUAUACUAUUUUCUA
rnacentral:tRNA from 1 species